rnacentral:lncRNA from 1 species
GUUGUGUCGUGUGUAUAUUGUUUUCUGUUGUUUUUUAUUUUUAACCAUGGCGUUGUCAGUUUGUUUUAGAUUUAUGAGUUUGACUGUCCCUUUGGUAUCUUUCGUCCCUCUUUUAUAUUUGAUUAUCCGACUUUCAUGUAGAUUACCGUAAUCUUUUAAAAAUUAAAAGGUUUGUAUGGUUUAAGUUUAACAUAAACAUCAAUUAUUGUGUAACUUUUUUUUUGCAUGUAACGACCAAAUUCUUGCUGUUACAUGAUAUUUGGAAAUCGAAAUAGUGCACAUCAUAUAAAAAUUACGUACACUGAUAUUUUCUGCAAUUUGACAUUGCAGAUUUCGAUAUUGUUCGAAAAAUUGUUGACGCAAGGUUGAGUGAAAUCAUGAGUUACAUUGAUGUUGUAUUUUUUUUUUACAGAAGUUCAAUCUGGAGAAUGUCCAGUGCCAUCUCUUUUAAUAAGUAGAUGUGUAGAACAGUGUUCAACUGACAGUGAUUGUUCUGUAAAACAAAAAUGUUGUGAUAAUGGAUGUGGGCACUCAUGUGAGAAUUCUACAACAUGUAAGUACAAAGAAAAACAUGAAUUAGUAAAAGCUAUCUCUCUCUUAUUUCUUUCACUCAAUAACCAUCAUAUCUGUGUAUGUGCAUAUUUCAUACAUCCUGGUAAAAUUACGAAUAAGGAAACAAGUUAAGAUCUGACAACACCAUGAUCAUUUCAUCAUUAUGAACACAUAUGGACGACUUCAAAGUAGAAUCUUUGACAAAAAUUUCAACAUUCCUAAUGUUAAAUUCCAGUUUCAGUAACAUUCACUCUAUUCAAUCGUAUAUGGCAUUCGUGGGUUUCUUUGUCCUAUAUGAUUUCCCAUUUAUUUGUAAUGUAGUUCUGUCAUAUAAUGUUGUCAUUUAAAUGGCAUAUCUAACAUUACCAUAAAAAUCGUCUUCACAUCUAUAAUUUUAAAGAAAUAUUCUUAAGUUUUGGCUGAUUGUAGUUUUGUAUCGGGUUGGUGUAGAAACAACAGGAGAUACUUAUCCUUUUUGGACUUAUGCGACUUCACCACUCUGUGUUCGUUAACUUGAUUAUCUUGAUUUGUGUUCUUUUUUUAAUUAGUGUAGCCUAAUCUUUACAUUUAUACCAACAACAAAAACCUCUAGAAUACAUUAAGGACAAUCAGCACCUAAUUACAAUUAACUAUAUCACAGGUUUCUAGAUUAGAUCCCCCUUUUCACUUGAACAGUGGUGCAACAACAUACUAUUAGAACAAACUGGUAAAGACAAUAAGAAGAGACAUUUUUUAAGUACUUCGGUUAUAAUAAAUAAUGGGUAUUAUUAGCUUAUCAUAACUUUUACAUUCUCAAAAACUGUUCUAUAGUUCUGAACUUUAUAAACAGCAUUAUAGUCGUAAACUCGGAUGUUGUUUAAAAUAGUCAUUGGCCUAUUAUUGAUCUCAAUCAAGAUGUCGAGGUUUACAUAAACUCUGCUGAACUUUUGUUGUCGAUUAAAACUGUUCAUAAGACCACAUUAAAUCGCUUUUUAUAGUAAUAUAUUCUAUAAAAAAAACAGCCACUUCUAUUUAAUUCUACAAGUACAAUGUAAUAAGCUAUAUACACGAUUUUAAACUUUAGAAUAGAUAAAAUAACUUCUUGUUCAAGACGAUGACUUUCUAAUUAUUCAUCCAGCAAAAAGUAAUAUACACUUUUUUUAUACUAUAGAAAUAGAUGUUCUGCUCAGUUAUCAAAAUCCCUAAUAAUCUAAUAUAACGUUUCGCCAAAUUUGAUCUUUCCACUGCUCGUUAUCAGGGUAUGCCGGCGUGCACCAGACGUACAGACAAAAUUUACAAAGUCGGUAUACGUUAGUUGCACGCCACAGGAACGCUAAGCAAUCGUUAAACGCGCGUUUCAUAAGUUUGAAGUACAUCGAAAUGCAAAGUUAUACGUUUGGUGAACGCUAUAACUCCAGGAAAUUUUUAUGCAGCAUAACAAUUUUCAUCCAGCUCAAGCGUUUGUCUACUUGUACGCUACACGCACGUGAUAAAUACGCUACAAGCGCGUUGAAAACAUUACAGAUAAGUUGGAGACACGUUUAGAGCACGUUAACGUUGUAUACGCUGCAAGAUCGUUGAACUUUAACUAAAACGUAUGCGUUUGUGUUUGAAACAAACACCCCAUAAUAAAACGUGAAAGCACGUAUUAUCGUUCCAGCUACGACCGGGACACGUCUUAAAUACGUUCUUUCGUAGCGUGCAUUCCAUCUACUGUGCGUUAGACAAACGCCAGGCAUACGCCAACACACAUUACUUGAACGCCCGAUAAACGUUAAGGUAAGCUUCUCGUACGCCCCAUACAGGCUUAAAGCUCGUUGUGCACACGAUACAGAUAUGAUUGACAUGUUGAAUGUAUCCACAACUACUAGGUUAUUGGCAGCGUGCAUAUUUUGUUACCACGCCCGCUAUACGUCGGAGCUAUACGCUGAUGUGUGACGCCGGUAUAAUAUAUCUAAAUGGUGAAUAGAUGAUAGAACAUUUCGUAAUUGCAAUCCACCUCCAUUUUCACCACAAAUGUGACCUACCGAAUUACACUUUUACCGGGUUUGUAAUAACAUGACAACACGACGGGUGCCAAAUGUGGAACAGGAUCUGCUUACCUUUCCGGAGCACCUGAGAUCACCCCAUGAUUUUGUUGGGGUUCGUGUUGCUUAGUUUUUAGUUUUCUAUGCUGUGUCUAGUGUACUAUUAUUUGUCUGUUUGUCUUUUUAUUUUAUAUCCAUGGUGUUUUAAGUUUAUUUUUGAUCUAUGAGUUUCACUGUCCCUCUAGUAUCUUUCGCCCCUCUUUUCUCAAGAUAGAUUUUCUAUUAUGUUGGAAUUCUGCUUAGAUAUCACAUGUUCAAUUAUAUGUAUUUAACACUGUUACAAAACGCAUAACUAAACGACAAAUUAUGUUUUUAACUUGCAUAUGAUGAUGACCAUUUUGAGAUAUUUUACAUGGUUGAAAUGCAUAACUAUAAUCUGAGAGUUUAUGAUGCAAUACCAAAUAUUUUUUUGUGUCAAAUUUACCAUGCUGUCAAAUUUGUAAAUUUUUAAUUUUUCGCAGUUUUAAGAACAAAAUGCAUAACAUUGCAACUUUUUUAGCUCACCUGACCCAAAGGGCCAAGUGAGCUUUUCUCAUUUCUUGGCGUCCGUCGUCCGUUGUCGUCCGUCGUCCGUUGUCGUCCGUCGUCGUCGUCGUCCGUCGUCCGUAGCUUUUACAAAAAUUUUAUCCUCUGAAACUACUGGGCCAAAUUGAACCAAACUUGGCCACAAUCAUCAUUGGGGUAUCUAGUUUGAAAAAUGUGUGGCAUGACCCGGUCAACCAACCAAGAUGGCCGCCACGGCUAAAAAUAGAACAUAGUGGUAAAAUGCAGUUUUUGGCUUAUAACUCAAAAACCAAAGCAUUUAGAGCAAAAUCUGAAGGGGGUAAAAUGUUUAUCAGGUCAAGAUCUAUCUGCCCUGAAAUUUUCAGAUGAAUCGGUCAACCCGUUGUUGGAUUGUUGCCCCUGAAUUAGUAAUUUUGAGGAAAUUUUGCUGUUUUUGGUUAUUAUCUUGACUAUUAUUAUAGAUAGAGAUAAACUGUAAACAGCAAUAAUGUUUAGCAAAGUUAGAUUUACAAAUAAGUUAACAUGACCGAAAUGGUCAGUUGACCCCUUUAGGAGCUAUUGCCCUUUAUAGUCAAUUUUUAACCAUUUUUCGUAAAUCUUAGUAAUCUUUUACAAAAAUCUUCUCCUCUGAAACUACUGGGCAAAUUAAUUCAAAACUUGGCACAAUCAUCAUUGGGGUAUCUAGUUUAAAAAAAAAGUGUGGGCGUGACCGGUCAACCAACCAAGAUGAUCACCAAGGCUAAAAAUAGAACAUAGGGGUAAAAUGCAGUUUAUGGCUUAUAACUCAAAACCCAAAACAUUAAGAGCAAAUCUGAUAGGUAGUAAAAUGUUUAUCAGGUCAAGAUCUAUCUGCCCUAAAAUUUUCAGAUGAAUCCGUCAACCCGUUGUUGGGUUGCUCCCCUGAAUUGGUAAUUUUGAGAAAUUUUGCUGUUUUUGGAUAUUAUCUUGAUAUUAUUAUAGAUAGAGAUAAACUGUGAACAGCAAUAAUGUUCAUCAAAGUAAGAUUUACAAAUAAGUCAACAUUACCGAAAUGGUCAGUUGACCCCUUUAGGAGUUAUUGCCCUUUAUAGUCAAUUUUUAACCAUUUUUCGUAAAUCUUAGUUAUCUUUUACAAAAUUUCUCCUCUGAAACUAAUUGGCCAAAUUAAUUCAAACUUGGCCACAAUCAUCUUUGGGGUAUCUUGUUUGAAAAAUGUGUCCGAUGACCAGGCCAUCAACAAGAUGGCCACCAGGCUAAAAAAAAGAACAGGGGUAAAAUGUAGAUUUUGGCUUUAUAACUCUGAAACCAAAUCAUUUAGAGCAAAUCUGACAAGGAGUUAAAUUGUUAAUCAAGUCAAUAUAUAUCUGCCCUGAAAUAUUCAAAUGAAUUGGACAACCGGUUGUUGGGUUGCUGCCCUCCAAUUGGUAAUUUUUAAAGAAAUUUUGCCGUUUUUGGUUAUUAUCUUGAAUACUAUUAUAGAUAGUGAUAAACUGUAAACAGCGAUAAUGUUCAGCAAAGUAAGAUCUACAAAUAAGUCAAUUGACCCCUUAAGGAGUUAUUGCCCUUUAUAGUUAAUUUUUACAUUUCAUUUUUGGUAAAUUUAUGUAAAUUUUACCAAAUUUUUCUCUGUUACAAUGGGCAAGUUCAUUAUAGAUUAUUGUAAGAAGCAAGAACGUUCAGUAAGUGAACUUCAAACACAUCACCAUCACCAAAAUACAAUUUUGUCAUGAAUCCACAUUUGUGUCCUUUGUUUAAUAUGCAGCAUGAUAGACCAAGGUGAGCGACACAAGCUCUUUAGAGCCUCUAGUUGGUCAUUUAUGUCAUGUGACAUUUUCAUGAAAUAAUUUGUGGAGUAUUUCUUCAAAUAGAAUUAUUGGUCUCCUAAAACAAUACCAAUAAAUGAAAAAACUAUUAUUAUCAUUACAGUGGAUGGUUAUUGGACAGCAUGGAAAAGUUGGUCUGAAUGUUCUGCCACCUGUGGAUAUGGAAAUCGUAACCGUUCCAGAACUUGUAUUGAACCACUUUAUGAAGGUGCUCCAUGUCCUGGGCCAGACUCUGAAAUUGAAGCUUGUAACUCUUUCUCCUGUCCAAGUAAGUAACAUUUAUUUCAUUUUGUAUACAUGUAUCUUCUUUGUUCAAAGAGGACAGAAUAAAAAGGGGAAAAGGGGUAAAAAAAAAUAGGCUUAAGGAAACAGAACAUCAUAGUAAAUAAAGAUAGUCAAUAACACACUACAAAGGAAAUAAAGAUAGUCAAUAACACACUACAAAGGAAAUAAAGAUAGUCAAUAACACACUACAAAGGAAAUAAAGAGAUAGUCAAUAACACAACUACAAAGGAAAUAAAGAUUGUCAAUACACACUACAAAGGAAAUAAAGUAGUCAAUAACACACUACAAAGGAAAUAAAGAUAGUAAUAAACACUACAAAGGAAAUAAGAUGUCAAUAACACACUACAAGGAAAAUAAAGUAGUCAUACACACUACAAAGGAAAAUAAGAUAGUCAUACCACUACAAGAAAUAAGAUGUCAAUAACACACUAUCAAAGGAAAUAAAGAUUGUCAAUAACACACUACAAAGGAAAUAAAGAUUGUCAAUAACACACUACAAAGGAAAUAAAGAUAGUCCAUAACACACUACAAAGGAAAUAAAGAUAGUCAAUACACACUACAAAAUGAAAAUAAAGAUUGUCAAUACACUACAAAGGGAAUAAAGUUGUCAAUAACACACUACAAGGAAAUAAAGAUUAAUAACACACUACAAAGGAAAUAAGAUGUCAAACACACUACAAGGAAAUAAAGAAAUCAAUACAAGUAAAACACUACAAAGGAAAUAAAGCUAGUCAUACCACUACAAAGGAAAUAAGAUGUCAAUAACACACUACAAAGGAAAUAAAGAUUGUCAAUAUACACACUACAAAGGAAUAAAGAUGUCAAUAACACCAAACAAAGGAAAUAAAGAUAGUCAAUAACACACUACAAAGGAAAUAAAGAUUGUCAAUAACACACUACAAAGGAAAUAAAGAUAGUCAAUAACACACUACAAAGGAAAUAAAGAUAGUCAAUAACACACUACAAAGAAGAAAUAAAGAUAGUCAAUAACACACUACAAACGAAAUAGGAUGUCAAUACACACUACAAAGGAAAUAAAUUGUCAUAACACACUACAAAGGAAAAAGAUGUCAUAAUAACUACAAAGGAACUAAGAUGUCAAAUAACACACUAAACAAAGGAAAUAAACGUAGUCAAUAACACACUACAAAGGAAAUAAAGAUGUCAAUAACUACAAAGGAAAUAAAGAUUGUCAAUAACACACUACAAAGGAAAUAAAGAUAGUCAAUAACACACUACAAAGGAAAUAAAGAUUGAGUUACAUGAACUCAACUAAAAUAGAUAAUAAACUCAAGGGCGGUUACAGGGUAAGCUGUUCCUCACAUACAUCAGUUAUACUUUCCUAUUUGGCCACCCUUAUGACCUGAAUAUGCCUUUUAAGAGGGUGUUUAAGGUCAGGUUACAGUAAUGGGCUGUGUCACACAUUUUUAAGAAGUUUUGCUUGUUUAACUAUAACUACAAAAUCAAAAAAAUAAUGCAUUUAUCUCUUUUAUUGAUGAAAUAUAACUGAUUGAAUUUUUUCAAAAUAGAUGAGUAAACAUUUGUGUAGAAAGCACAUAAAAUUAGCAAAACAGUACUAGUUCUUACCAAAUGAAGUAGGCCGGUAUAAGCACUGAAAUAUGCGUAUACUGUAACUUACAGCUUAUUUUUAUGAUGAAAAUUAAACAAUGUAUUAUAAAUCUAAGUCUGCUACCAAUAAUUAUGCACUCUUUAGAAUGUCGUACAUUUUUUGUUUUUGUACCUUUUUACAUGAAUAUUUUUGUAAUACAGUUGAUGGAUCAUGGAAACUUUGGGAGACCUGGGGUGAUUGUAGCACGACAUGUGGGAGUGGGGGUCGUAACAGAACAAGAGAAUGCAAUGAAGCAAUGCAUGGAGGUGGUGAUUGUAUUGGUGUUUCCACGGAAACAGAGAGUUGUAACACCCAUAAUUGUCCAGGUAACAUUUUUUAUGAAACCCAGAUUCCUAGUGUUGCACAUGCUUUUUCCCUUCCUAUCCCAUUUUAAUUGCUUAUUUUGCAUAAUCAGAAAAUAAACGGUCACACUUGACGCAAAAAUAAUAUGACUGAAGUUGAAAGAUUUGUAUCCUUUCAAAAAUUAUCUUAAAUCAAGUUUUUUAAGGUUUGUCACAAAUAUUUCUGCAUUUAAGUUUAUCUUUGGUAGAACUCAAUUAGCUAUUGAUAGAACAUGAAUUUAGUUGACCAAUUGAAAGAUCAUAUGGAGGGGGUUAUGGCAAAUUUUUCUAGUAAAAUACUUAGAUAACAUCUACUUGUCAAGUUUGGCUGUCCAAGCCAUUAACUUGAAGCUUAUAUUUUUAUUUAUUUUAAACCAAUUUAAAUGCUGGUAUGCUAAAAUUGCUUUAAUAUUAAAGAAAAACCUGCAGUUUCUUUGGUAAGAAAUUAACCAGCAAUUUAAUUGGUAAUUGGAUCACACAAAAUAAUGUAUACAUUAACAUAAACAUGCAUAGCAACCAUAAAUUUUGGCUUCAGUUGACGGUGUGUGGUUAGAAUGGGCAGUGUGGAGCCAUUGUUCGUCAUCCUGUGCAAUUGGUUGGCAGUCCAGGAACAGAACUUGUCUUGGACCUUUCUAUGACGGUCACAGCUGUACAGGAGAUAUAUCUGAAGUACAAGACUGUAUGUUAGUAGAAUGUCCUGGUAAGUCUUAUUUUAAAAAUGUAUUUACUAUCAAUUAUCUCCCUUUACAGAAUUACCAGAAAAUAAGUCCUGAUUAUAGCCAAUCAUCUCCCUUUACAGAAUUACCAGAAAAUAAGUCCUGAUUAUAGCCAAUUAUCUCCCUUUACAGGAUUAAAGCCAGUUAUCUCCCUUUACUGAAUAACCAUAAAAUAAGUCCUGAUUAUAGCCAGUUAUCACCCUUUACAGAAUUACAAGAAAAUAAGUCCUGAUUAUAGCCAGUAAUUACAAGAAAAUAAGUCCUGAUUAUAGCCAGUAAUUACAAGAAAAUAAGUCCUGAUUAUAGCCAGUUAUCUCCCUUUACAGAAUAACCAGAAAAUAAGUCCUGAUUAUAGCCAGUUAUCUCCCUUUACAGAACUACCAGAAAAUAAGUCCUGAUUAUAGCUAGUUAUCUCCCUUUACAAAAUUACCAGAAAAUAAGUCCUGAUUAUAGCCAGUUAUCUCCCUUUACAGAAUUACCAGAAAAUAAGUCCUGAUUAUAGCCAGUUAUCUCCCUUUACAGAAUUGCCAGAAAAUAAGUCCUGAGUAUAGCCAGUUAUCUCCCUUUGCGGAAUUACUAGAAAAUAAGUCCUGAUUAUAGCCAGUUAUCUCUCUUACGGAAUUACCAGAAAAUAAGUCCUGAUUAUAGCCCGUUAUCUCCCUUUACAGAAUUACCAGAAAAUAAGUCCUGUUUGUAGCCAAUUAUCUCCCUUUACUGAAUUACCUGAAAAUGACCCUUUUUUUAUCAGGUUGAAGAUUGUAUUCUCUUGAAUUAUCAAAAUGACUUAUGUCAAGACGAAUCAUUAAAAACAUCAUUAAAACUAUUGAUCCUUAUUAUUAUCCUUACAACUUGCAGUUAUGUGUACUGAAAAGUAUGCAUUAAAAUUGCCUUGAAUUUUUUAAUUUUUGCUUACUUAAUCACACCUAUAAUAAAUAAACCUUAUAAACUAUGUUUUCAAAUUUUAUUAACUCUUGAUAACUUUGAAGUUUCAAGUUUGCAUGUUAAGUCUGAGCAAAUUUUAUGAAAAUAUUUGUGUUUCUAUGAGAGUCUCACAAGAUUAUAUGUCUAAUCAAAUAUUUUUGAAAUAUGACAUGUUUUUAGUUGAUGGUGUGUGGCAGCCCUGGUCUCUGUGGGAUAGCUGUAAUAUAACAUGUGGUCGAGGAGGGCAGAAUAGAUAUAGGACUUGUAUACAACCUCAGUUUGGAGGUGCACCUUGCAACGGAUCAGAGAUCGAUUACAAAGAUUGUAAUACACACCACUGCCCUGGUAAUGCUUCUUAUACCGAAACAUAUAUUGCCAGAGAUAUCAUAGAUGGUCAACAUUUUAUAUCAUUUCACUCAAGGGGUCAAACAUUGUUUUAUUAUAUCUUUCCCCCUGUUUAAGCAGCUGAAGAACGAUAAACAAAUAAACAAGUACAUUUGUACAUACAUUUAAUGCACCAAUUAUAUUAGAAUUAGCAAAUAUUUUAUUUUUUUAACAUUUUUUAUUGGGUUGCAGAGUGGUUCAAUUUUGUAAUAUUAUAAACACUCACUGACAAACAUAUAUAUAUAUAUGUAUAUAUUUCUCUAAUUCUUCGUCAAUUUAUCCCUUUCUGCACCCAUUGUUAAAAAAAUAUAAUCAAGUUGUUCGUUGAUCUCAGUUCUUCAUUGAUUAAAAUCCGAUUAUGACGUCGAAUUUUUUAGUUUUCUUCUGAAUUUCCUAUUGUGACGGCAUGAAAAAAGGCGAACAUGCCUGAUGACGUCGCAUAGAAUAAACACUUCUUUUUGCAGAUCAGUCUCAAAAAAGGAAUAAGUUUGCCCAUGUAUUGUUUGAAAAUCAUUAGAGAAACAGAUUCCACCACCAAAUCUCGUGUAAUACGAUAUUUAUCCACUCUUGACAGUUAAAUUUGAAAAUUUAACUGUCUCGAGUGGAUAAAUAUCGUAUCACACUCGAUGCAGUGGUAGAAUCUAUAUAUAUAUAUACCAAAAUCACAAAGCUAAAUAGCAGUUCAAACAUAUAUAGAAAAGAUAAUUUAUUUUAGAAAUUAAUAUCAAACAAAAUUACAAAUUACUGUAAAGUGGUAUUUUUUUUUAGGGAUUCUGAAUUUUCAGAUAAUAACCUAACCUGUUUCGAGGUUUAAAUUUUGUGAUUUUUUUUUUUUGCCUUAUUUUGUUCUUCUUUAAGACUAAUUCACACAAGAGAAUAUUUCAACAAAGUAACUUGGCCAAGAAAUUAGCAAUGCAUGUAAUAAUAAACAAUUAACGCUGUUAACCUUUUGUUCGCAUAAGUUUAGUUGCAAAAAAUAUAUUAUAUUUUUUUUUCUAAUUUUGAAGUUGAUGGUCAAUGGGAUCUUUGGACUGACUGGUCAGAUUGUACAUUAACUUGUGGGUCUGGUACACAGAUGAGGAACCGUACCUGUGUAAAUCCUAAGUUUGGAGGAUCUUCUUGUAUGGGGGAUAGCACAGAUGAACAAUCUUGUAACAAACACCAUUGCCCAGGUAAGUGGACCUGAGAUUAGAUGAUAGGUCUAAAGUAAGGGUUACAUAAGAGUUCAAAUGAGGGUAUGAAGUUCUAACGAAACAGUGUAGUUCCAUUGUUGCUUCAUUUGGUUGUAAUUCAGCCGUGCUAUUUCAGUUACCCAAAUGACACUUUAUAAACAGUGCCUAAAUAUGAUUAAUAUUUUUCUAUCGCAGGGGAAUAAUAUUUUGUGUUACUGUAUAUUGUAUAUCAUGCUUAACAUUCUACCUUUAUAUUAUAUUUAUGCUAUGCCACUGAGAAUGUUGUUCAAUCACCAUUAAUGAGAAUAUUUUGUGGCACUCAUCUUUUGUUAAUAACUAGAAAAAAGAAGAUGUGGUAAGAUUGCCAAUGAGACAACUCUCCACUAGAGACCAUAAGACAAAGAAAUUAACAACUAUAGGUCACUGUACAAAGUUCAAAAAUGAGUUAAACCCAUUCUGACCUCUUCUCUUGAUUUAAUAGUUUUUAUUUCAAUUUGGGGGCUCAAAUAAGUACAUAAAAACUUAAUGUGAAAUGUUUAUUUUUCUACUAUUUCUGUUGGAUGACAAUACUGUAAUGUAUUAUGCCAAAAAAAAUGUGAUUGCAGUUUCAUAAAAAAAAAUCCUGCUUGUUCAUUAUUCAUAUAUUAGGAAAAUUAUGAUUAAGUCAAUAUUAUGCCAACAUACCAUUGAAAAAUGCAACCUUGAAUGCCUCUUAUUUGAGUUUAUACUUUUUUUCAAAAUUAACAAUCUAAGAUAUUUGUUACAGUGGAUGGAUUUUGGCUAGAAUGGUCAGAGUGGGAUGAAUGUUCUGCCUCUUGUGGUGAUGGUGAACAGACAAGGAACAGAACCUGCAUGGAGCCCCUGUAUGGUGGUAAACCAUGUGAUGGAAACAUAGAUGAAACAAAACACUGUAACAUUAAAAGCUGUGCAAGUAAGGAAGAAAUAAUCCUAUCGUAUACUAUGGAUUCAUUUAUUUUCAUGGGUAUCAAUUUUCGUGGAUUCAGUAAUUUUUGGGGGUUUCACCAAAUUCUACAUACAAGCCUAUAUAAAUGUUUACUUUGUUUGAACAUUUGAAUCUGUGAUUCGCCUGUAACCACAAAAUUAACGUAAAUUGGUAUCCCAUGAAAAAUAAUGAAUUUACAGUUGUCAUUUUGUUUAAACAUCCUGUUAUAUGUAUAUUGGAAAUCUGAAUAGUAUUUGUUGUAUCAAUUUAUGUCAUGUAUUUUUCAAAGUAUCUCACUAUUUAUAGACUUAUAUAACAAUAAGUAAUACAAGCUUUAUAAUCACAUUUUAUACAGGUAUUUAUCAUAGUUUUCUAUGUUUAGCUUGAACCUACCUGCUUUUCUGCUUAGUGUAAAUGUUUUGUACAUCACAAAGUGAAAAUUCCUUGAAAAUUGAAACCUGAAAAACCUUCUUAUGUUCCUUUCAAUUACCCUUUGUCUAUCAUUCCUCCCAUCGGGACCCAUCCAUGUAUUAAUUUGAGUGACACACUCACAAUUAAAAAUUGUAAGUCUUUAACAUUUCAGUAUAACCUAUGAUUGUUUUUAGUCGUAAAAUUUUUUGUGAUAAAAAGACAGGGGUGCAUUUUAUAUCUAUUGUUGAACCUAGAGGUUAACUACUUGACCAGUUUCAAGAAAAUUGUGAUAAGGUCAGAAAAAUUAUACAGUAAUAAAGUCUAAAUCUUUUUUCAUUUAUUAUUUGUUUCCCCAGUUAUUUCUCAUCACUUGGCGUACGGCGUCUGUUGUCCGGCGUCCGUCGUCCGUAAACUUUUACAAAAAAAUCUUCUCCUCUGAAACUACUGGGCCAAAUUUAACCAAACUUGGCCAUUCUCCUCUGAAACUACUGGGCCAGAUUUAACCAAACUUGGCCACAAUCAUCCUUGGGGUAUCUAGUUUAAAAAAAAUGUGUUCGAUGACCUGGCCAUCCAACGAAGAUGGCCGCCAUGGCUAAAAAUAAAACACAGGGGUAAAAUGUAUAUUUUGGCUUAUAUCUUUGAAACCAAAGCAUUUAGAGCAAAUCUGAUUAGGUAAAAUUGUUGAUUAGGUCAAGAUCUAUCCGCCUUAAAAUUUUCAGACGAAUCGGACAACCUGUUGUUGGGUUGCUGCCCCUGAAUUGGUAAUUUUAAGUAAAUUUUGCAGCUUUUGGUUAUUAUCUUGAAUACUAUUAUAGAUAGAGAUAAACUGUAAACAGCAAUAAUGUUCAGCAAAAUAAGACCUAACAAAUAAGUCAACUGACCAAAAUUGUCAGUCAACCCCCUUAAGGAGUUAUUGCCUUUAUAGUCAAUUUUUAACAACUUUUCGUGAUUUUUGUAAGUUGUACAAAAAUCUUUUUCUCUGAAACUACUGAGCCAAAUUUAACUAAACUUGGCCACAAUCAUCAUUGUGGUAUAUAGUUUAAAAAAUGUGUCUGAUGACCCCGCCUGCCAAACAAAAUGGCCGACAUGGCUAAAAUUAGAACAUAGUGGUAAAAUGCAGUUUUUGCUUUAUAUCUUUAAAACUAAGAUAUUUGGGCAAAUCUUUCAAGAUUUAAAUGUCCAUCAGAAUAAGAUCUAUCCCCUCACAAAUUUUCAGAUGAAUCCGACAACCAUUGACAACCUGUUGUUGGGUUGCUGCCCUAAAUUUGGUAAUAUUAAGGAAAUUUUGCCGUUUUUGAUUAUUAUCGUGAAUACCAUUAUAGAUAGAGAUAAAGAGAUAAACUGUAAAGAGCAAUAAUGUUCAGCAAAGUAAGAUCUACAAAUAAGUCAAUAUGACCAAAAUUGUCUGAGAACCCCUUAAGGAUUUAAUGCCCUUUAUAGUCAAUUUUGAACAACUUUUUGUCAUUUUUGUAACUUGUACAAAAAUUUUCUUUUCUAAAACUAUGGGCCAAAUUUAACCAAACUUGGCCACAAUCAUUACUAGGGUAUCUAAUUAAAAAAAAGUGUCUAAUGACCCCGCCUACCAACCAAGUUGGCCGGUGAGCGACACAGGCUCUUGAGAGCCUCUAGUUGUUAUAAAUGAUUGAAAAAAUACAUAUCUAAGAAAUUUGAAAAGACAAAAAAUGAUAUGGAAUGUAUAUGAUUCUCGUAAAAUCAUUUUUUGAACCCCUCAUCCAUUUUCUCAAAAUUUUGGCUAAAAAGACUGAUUUAAUUGGUUGUAAAAUUAGAAAAAUGGAUUGCUCAAAAACUAUUCAUUGUAACAACACAAAUAUUUCACAGAGUUAUGUUUGAUUAUAAUAUUUUCAAAAUUCAUUGAUAUUUUCCACUAGUAUCACAUGUUUGAAAAUAAUUCCAUCUAGGGUUUGUGUUGCUCAGUCUUAAUUUUUAUAUGACCAAAUGAUGACAUGCUUUGUUAUAAUAAUAUGUAUUUUUGGAAAAUGAUAUAUUACAAUUUUUCUAGUAGAAAUAAAUAAAUCAGGGUUAUUAUAAAAGAAAAUAUUAUCUGAUUGAUUGUUAAAAUUUUAUAAGAAUAUUUGUUUUCACUCGUCGCUCAGGUUUAGCAAUCACUGCUAGUUAUUUAGGUGUAAUACCAACAUUUGUUUUCCCCUAUUAGUCUUUUUGAAAUUUGCACUUUUCAAAACAAAUGUGCAGAAUUUAUCUUUGUUUCAACUCUUGGUUUCGUAUAAUUUUCGAAGUGAUGAAUUGCAACACUUAGAACUCGUGGUAGUGCAAUAACUUCUUUGUAAACAUCAACCCUGUAUCAUUGAAAUCAUGAUAGGAAAUGAAACCCGUAACAUAUAUAAUCUGGAAGAAUGGUGAAAAAUAGACAUGAAAUUUUUUUAAUGGUGAAGCUAAAGUCUUCUUUAUUUUAAAUUUAUGUUCUCAACCGACUCACAUUGUCAAUUUAUAGGAGUAAAUUAGAAUAUGAGGCAGACUCAACCUCUCAGUUUCAUCCUUGACUUAAAGUUUGAUGAAAGAAACGAGUCAAACAUGGUCACCAAAUAAUAUAGUGACAGGACAUGAUCUAUAUCGUGUAGUUUGAAAUUAAAGAGAAACAUGCAUGAUAUAUUUAUUUAUAUCUUUCUAAGAAGCUCCUGUGUGAAGGUAUCUUUAUAUUAAGAGAGAUUCAUGCGCAAGAUUUUUUGUGUUUAUUAUCAUUAAAACCUAUUACAUUGCAAAGCAUAUGGUGAUGAAGGAAGUAAAAUGAUUAUAAUAAUAUAAAUUCAAUUUGUAGAGGUUACAAUCUGGAGUGAAUGGUCACAAUGGUCAAAUUGCAAGACGACUAUGACUUGUGGUCAUGGAUCAAAAAUCCGUGAAAGAACAUGUGCUGGUACUUGUAUUGGUGAUAAUCGUGACGAAAAGCACUGUUUCAUUAGGUGUCCAGAUCACAGUAAGUGUUCACAGAAUAAUUUAUUUUACGCAUCUAUCAAUGACGCAUUUUAAUCAGUAUUCAUCUUCCAUGUUCAAAUAUUGAAAGAUAAAGAUAUAUGAAGAUGUGGUAUGAGUUCCAAUGAGAAAACUCUCCAUCCAAGCAACAAUUCAUAAAAGUAAACCAUUAUACGUCAAGGUAAGACCUUCAACACGGAGCCUUGGCUCACACCGAACAGCAAGCUAUAAAGGGCAUCAAAAAUUAAUAGUGUAAAUAAUUAUCAAGGUACCAGGAUUAUAAUUUAGUUAGCCAGUAAAACCAGUAAAACCUUUCAAACGGACAAACCAACGGUCUAAUCUAUAUAAAAACGAGAAAUGAGAAACACCUAUAUUCAAAACGUAUCAAAUUGACGUUAACGUUUCUGUCAGAGAUUUUUUUUUUGGAAUAUGUACAAGUAGUAGUUAAAGAAGAACACUUGCAUAUUAAUGUACACCAAAUGAAGGUCGAAACUCAUUUUUCUGGCAUUAUAUACAUUCAUAACUAAUAAUCCAAACAUGUUAGAAAUCGAAUAGAUGUUAUUUCCCUUAGCAUGCAUAAUUAACUGUUAGUUAUGAAAUAAUAAAGCAUAGAACCGUGAACUUAAAAGAUUUAAAGAGAUAAUGUAGCAUGAACGUUCUAAAGUUAUUUUGAACCAUGAAUAGUAUGCAGGAUUAAGAUAUUUGAAUAAACUCAUCAUACAUAAUAUGCUUGAAUUUUUGUAUUUGCGAUGGACGCUCGUUCCGUCUGCAAAAGUAAGACUCAUCACUGACGGUCGAAUAAAAAUAAUAACGCUUAAUAAAGUAGGAAGUUGAAGAGCAUUUAGGACUAACACUUUUACAAGUUUUGCCAAAUAUAGCUAAGGUAAUCUAUACCUGAGGUAGAAGAUGCAGCACUUUUUAUAUAAAAUGAUACAAUUUCUACGUAAAGUAAUGUGAAAGCGGAUAUUUUAUGAUAUCGAAUAACUGAGAUUGUCGCUCUAAUGUCCUUAGACACUUUGUACAGUAACAAAGAAGAAGUAAAAAGCCAUUCACACAAUAAUUUCAAAAUUAAAUGAAUUAUUACAUAUUUUAUCAUUUAUGUUUCAGUUUGUAUUGAUACGUACAAAGGUUGCAGUGCUUACUUAAAAAUGCUGAAAUGCUAUGAUAGAGACUAUGCUUACGAUUAUUGUCGAAAAUCAUGUGGACUUUGCCAAAAAAAUAUAUAUAACAUAUAAUUUAUCAAUAAAUAUUGGUUUUGUUAUCAGUAAACUACAAGCAA